rnacentral:misc_RNA from 1 species
UAGAGGAGAAUCUCUCAUCCUAUCUUGUGGAUAUUCUAUUGCUUUUGUGGCAUUACACUUCACCAUCUCUUCUUUGUCUUAGGGAUCUUUCAUUUUUCCGUUACUUGUAGGAGUAGGGGCCAAUUUUUAAUCCAAGAGGUUGUUUUGAGUUAUUUUGAGCAUAUGGUUUGCAUUUAAAAAAAAAAAAUCUUUUUAGUAUUCCAGUUAAAUGUUUGGAAAGCAUAACUAGUUCUUAAUAAGGUAUUUUGCAGUAAGGGUCGCUAAGAUUAUGGUUAGAGGCAUUUCCUCAGGUCUGUCUCAGUGUCUAUUCACCUAAGUAACAUUCUAGAUCUUAAUUUGUAAUUGUGGCAAAACCUGCUUAUUUUCUUGUAAUUUAUGUUGGCCUACUCUAUGGUUUUGCAUGGUGACGGUUGCUAAUAUAUAAAUUUCCCUGAUUGUUGUAGGAG